UAUUACAGCCAUAUCACCCUGCAGCUCAAGACCGGUUACUCACUGAAGCUAAGCAGGGCUGAGCCUGAUCAGUACCUGGAUGGGAGACCAUUGGGGAACACUAGGUUGCUGUUGGAA
ensembl:rRNA 5S_rRNA 5S ribosomal RNA